AAUAGAUACCCCGGUAGUCCACGCCGUAAACGAUGAGUGCUAAGUGUUAGGGGGUUUCCGCCCCUUAGUGCUGCAGCUAACGCAUUAAGCACUCCGCCUGGGGAGUACGACCGCAAGGUUGAAACUCAAAGGAAUUGACGGGGGCCCGCACAAGCGGUGGAGCAUGUGGUUUAAUUCGAAGCAACGCGAAGAACCUUACCAGGUCUUGACAUCCCAAUGACCGCUCUAGAGAUAGAGUUUUCCCUUCGGGGACAUUGGUGACAGGUGGUGCAUGGUUGUCGUCAGCUCGUGUCGUGAGAUGUUGGGUUAAGUCCCGCAACGAGCGCAACCCUUAUUCUUAGUUACCAUCAUUUAGUUGGGCACUCUAAGGAGACUGCCGGUGACAAACCGGAGGAAGGUGGGGAUGACGUCAAAUCAUCAUGCCCCUUAUGACCUGGGCUACACACGUGCUACAAUGGACGGUACAAAGAGCUGCGAACCCGCGAGGGUAAGCCAAUCUCAUAAAACCCGUUCUCAGUUCGGAUUGUAGUCUGCAACUCGACUAC
rnacentral:rRNA from 1 species